GGGGAUUUGCACUGUGAGGCUGAGGGGAGGGUGCAGGCAGCUUCCUUUCUCAAAGGCAGGCAGCGUCAGCACUAAACUAGGGUGUGGGGACAGGAGGGGCCGCACCAGGAGGGGACAGGUGGGGACAGGUGGAAUCUGGCCCUGGAGGUCCAAGGUGGGAUUUACUCCACCCCAGGCCCUUUGACGGUCACGGGAGGAGUUGGUCCCACUGCUGCACAAAGGACCCCUGAAGCCCGAAGCCACCAGAAC